UUUAUGAUCUAAAGAAAUGAUGUAAAUUCGUCUAAGUUAUAGCAUUUCGUUAAUUAAGGCUUUAAAUUUGAAUUAAUAGCGUAUGUAAUGAUCAACGUGAUGGUUAGUCGCUAAUAGAGUGCAGUUAAGCAGGCUGAAAUUGUGCUAUAUACACAACCCUUUAACUUUACCGGGCCCCUAGCCAGUCACCGGCGAGUAAAAUUUAAAGCGAGUGAGCGAGUUAGAACACGCUCAGCGAGCGCAAGCUACACAGGGCUAGUUAAAUCGCUUUACUCGCAGGGUAUUGAAUUUUUGGAAGUUGUUUGUUUUGUAUUUUUUGUUUUUAUUUUGAGUUUAAAAAAAUUUAUGAACAAUUUCUAGUAUAAUGCAAUAUUAAAUACAAAGAUUAUCUAAAUAUUAAACUGAAAGACGUAAUAUUUAAGAACAUGUGUAAACAAUUAGAUGAUAAAGGUCUUCUAAAAGGAAUGGAUGAAAAACAAUUGAAAAACAAAACUAAAAGUUUGAAACAUGUGUUUCGUCAAGAACUGGCCGAAAUAGAACGAAGCAAAAAAAGUGGCUGUGGAACAGAAGACAUUUACACCUCAAAGUUAACAUGGUUUGAGGCUGCCCAUUUUUUCGCAGAAGUUUUGUCAACAAGGCAUAGUAAUUCAAACUUGAACUCUACCCAGCACACGGAAUAUAUAUGAGGAAGUCUCAAACUCUUAAAUUGAACAGCCUAAUGAACUCGAUACACCGCCCAAGGAACAAAAUGUAAAACUCUCUACUAAAAUGUAUCACAAGUAAAACUGUAGGACGAAUUUGGAAAGUAUGUAGCUGCAGAGCUACGUCAAUUGCCGCAACGUCAGGCUAUUUUAUUGCAGCAAGAAAUCCAGAAUUCUAUUACAUGUGUAAAGCUAAUCUGUUUAGAAAACAAUAACCAAAUAAAUACUUACUACGGAUAACCCCUUCAACUGCAAACUUCUUCAUCGUUAUCCUCCCCAAGUGAUCCCAGCCUUGCCUCAACCACAUAUGAAACACAUACCCAAACCCAAAAUAACGAAGAUAACGAAUAUGGUCCCGAUGUUCUUCAUCAAGCACUUAUAAAUACAUUUUCGGCACAAUUUUAAUUCUUAAUGAAUAAAUAAUAUUUUUUAUAGAUAAGUAACUUGUUUCAUAAACAGUGUGUAAAAAAUUAAUUGAUUAUUAAGUUAUGCCAACCUUUAUAUAUGGCUUUAGAACCUGACAAAUUGCUGCAA